rnacentral:rRNA from 1 species
GGAUUAGAUACCCUGGUAGUCCACGCCGUAAACGAUGUCUACUAGUUGUCGGUGGUCUUGUACUGCUGGUAACGCAGCUAACGCGAUAAGUAGACCGCCUGGGGAGUACGGCCGCAAGGUUAAAACUCAAAUGAAUUGACGGGGGCCCGCACAAGCGGUGGAGCAUGUGGUUUAAUUCGAAGCAACGCGAAGAACCUUACCUGGCCUUGACAUCCUGCGAACUUUCUAGAGAUAGAUUGGUGCCUUCGGGAGCGCAGAGACAGGUGCUGCAUGGCUGUCGUCAGCUCGUGCCG